rnacentral:rRNA from 1 species
AGCGAACGCUGGCGGCAGGCUUAACACAUGCAAGUCGAACGGGCAUAGCAAUAUGUCAGUGGCAGACGGGUGAGUAACGCGUGGGAACGUACCUUUUGGUUCGGAACAACACAGGGAAACUUGUGCUAAUACCGGAUAAGCCCUUACGGGGAAAGAUUUAUCGCCGAAAGAUCGGCCCGCGUCUGAUUAGCUAGUUGGCAGGGUAAUGGCCUACCAAGGCGACGACCAGUAGCUGGUCUGAGAGGAUGAUCAGCCACAUUGGGACUGAGACACGGCCCAAACUCCUACGGGAGGCAGCAGUGGGGAAUAUUGGACAAUGGGCGAAAGCCUGAUCCAGCCAUGCCGCGUGAGUGAUGAAGGCCCUAGGGUUGUAAAGCUCUUUUGUGCGGGAAGAUAAUGACGGUACCGCAAGAAUAAGCCCCGGCUAACUUCGUG